UACGAAGGGGGCGAGCGUUGUUCGGAAUUACUGGGCGUAAAGCGUGCGUAGACGGUUAUGUAAGUCAGAUGUGAAAGCCCCGGGCUCAACCUGGGAAUUGCAUUUGAGACUGCAUAGCUAGGGUGCGGAAGAGGGUAGCGGAAUUUCCGGUGUAGCGGUGAAAUGCGUAGAUAUCGGAAGGAACACCAGUGGCGAAAGCGGCUUCCUGGUCCAGCACCGACAUUCAGGCACGAAAGCGUGGGGAGCAAACAGG
rnacentral:rRNA from 1 species